CCCGUCUGGCUAACAUGGCGAUGUUUAAAAAGAAAAAAUGAAAGCUUGAAAUGGGAUGCGACAUAAGGCCACACGUGUGCCCCCUUCCUCUCGUCUCUUCUCCUCUCUCACUUCCAAAAUCUAUUUCUGAUCACCUUCGUCUCUCUCCAAACUCAUGCCUUCUCUUUUUUUCUCCUCUCUUCUUCUCCCUCUCUGGCCAGCCACC
rnacentral:lncRNA from 1 species